AACGAACGCUGGCGGCAGGCUUAACACAUGCAAGUCGAGCGCCCCGCAAGGGGAGCGGCAGACGGGUGAGUAACGCGUGGGAAUCUACCCAUCUCUACGGAAUAACGCAUGGAAAUGUGUGCUAAUACCGUAUACGUCCUUCGGGAGAAAGAUUUAUCGGAGAUGGAUGAGCCCGCGUUGGAUUAGCUAGUUGGUGGGGUAAGGCCUACCAAGGCGACGAUCCAUAGCUGGUCUGAGAGGAUGAUCAGCCACACUGGGACUGAGACACGGCCCAGACUCCUACGGGAGGCAGCAGUGGGGAAUAUUGGACAAUGGGCGCAAGCCUGAUCCAGCCAUGCCGCGUGAGUGAUGAAGGCCCUAGGGUUGUAAAGCUCUUUCACCGGUGAAGAUAAUGACGGUAACCGGAGAAGAAGCCCCGGCUAACUUCGUGCCAGCCGCCGCGGUAACAC
rnacentral:rRNA from 1 species